rnacentral:tRNA from 1 species
CAGAAGAUAGUAUAAGAAAUUAUUUUAAUUUUGGGGAUUAAUGAUGAGCAUAUCUCUUCUGA